rnacentral:SRP_RNA from 12 species
CUGCAAUUGCCGCGGAAAUUGCCCAUGCUUGGCAAGGCCAGGCAGCGAGCAGGGCCACAGCUACCACUGCGCGCUCCUGGAGCUCCGGGAGCGGGGUGCGGACUUCGAGGUCA